CCUACGGGGGGCAGCAGUGAGGAGUAUUGGUCAAUGGACGAGAGUCUGAACCAGCCAAGUAGCGUGAAGGAUGACUGCCCUAUGGGUUGUAAACUUCUUUUAUAUGGGAAUAAAAUGUUCCACGUGUGGGAUUUUGUAUGUACCAUAUGAAUAAGGAUCGGCUAACUCCGUGCCAGCAGCCGCGGUAAUACGGAGGAUCCGAGCGUUAUCCGGAUUUAUUGGGUUUAAAGGGAGCGUAGGUGGAUUGUUAAGUCAGUUGUGAAAGUUUGCGGCUCAACCGUAAAAUUGCAGUUGAAACUGGCAGUCUUGAGUACAGUAGAGGUGGGCGGAAUUCGUGGUGUAGCGGUGAAAUGCUUAGAUAUCACGAAGAACUCCGAUUGCGAAGGCAGUUCACUGGACUGCAACUGACACUGAGGCUCGAAAGUGUGGGUAUCAAACAGGAUUAGAUACCCCUGUAGUC
rnacentral:rRNA from 1 species